rnacentral:rRNA from 1 species
GACGAACGCUGGCGGCGUGCUUAACACAUGCAAGUCGAGCGGUAAGGCCCUUUCGGGGGUACACGAGCGGCGAACGGGUGAGUAACACGUGGGUGACCUGCCCUUAGCUCUGGGAUAAGCCUGGGAAACUGGGUCUAAUACCGGAUAUGACUCCAUAACGCAUGUUGUGGGGUGGAAAGCCUUGUGCGGCUAGGGAUGGGCCCGCGGCCUAUCAGCUUGUUGGUGGGGUNAUGGGCCACCAAGGCGACGACGGGUAGCCGGCCUGAGAGGGCGACCGGCCACACUGGGACUGAGACACGGCCCAGACUCCUACGGGAGGCAGCAGUGGGAAUCUUGCGCAAUGGCGAAGCCUGACGCAGCGACGCCG